rnacentral:rRNA from 1 species
CAUAUCAAUAAGCGGAGGAAAAGAAACUAACAAGGAUUCCCCUAGUAACUGCGAGUGAAGCGGGAAAAGCUCAAAUUUAAAAUCUGACAGUCUUUGAUUGUCCGAGUUGUAAUCUAGAGAAGUGUUAUCCGCGCUGGACCGUGUACAAGUCUCCUGGAAUGGAGCGUCAUAGAGGGUGAGAAUCCCGUCUUUGACACGGACUGCCAGGGCUUUUGUGAUGCGCUCUCGAAGAGUCGAGUUGUUUGGGAAUGCAGCUCAAAAUGGGUGGUAAAUUCCAUCUAAAGCUAAAUAUUGGCGAGAGACCGAUAGCGAACAAGUACCGUGAGGGAAAGAUGAAAAGAACUUUGGAAAGAGAGUUAAACAGUACGUGAAAUUGCUGAAAGGGAAACGCUUGAAGUCAGUCAUGUCGUCCAGGGAUCAACCUUGCUUUUGCUUGGUGUACUUUCUGGUUGAUGGGUCAGCAUCAAUUUUUAUCAUUGGAAAAAAAUCAGGGAAAUGUGACAUCUUCGGAUGUGUUAUAGUCUUUGGUUGCAUACAAUGGUUGGGAUUGAGGAACUCAGCACGCCGAAAGGCCGGGUUUUUAUAACCACGUACGUGCUUAGGAUGCUGGCAUAAUGGCUUUAAUCGACCCGUCUUGAAACACGGACCAAGGAGUCUAACAUGCCUGCGAGUGUUUGGGUGGAAAACCCGAGCGCGUAAUGAAAGUGAAAGUUGAGAUCCCUGUCGUGGGGAGCAUCGACGCCCGGACCAGACCUUUUGUGACGGUUCCGCGGUAGAGCAUGUAUGUUGGGACCCGAAAGAUGGUGAACUAUGCCUGAAUAGGGUGAAGCCAGAGGAAACUCUGGUGGAGGCUCGUAGCGAUUCUGACGUGCAAAUCGAUCGUCAAAUUUGGGUAUAGGGGCGAAAGACUAAUCGAACCAUCUAGUAGCUGGUUCCUGCC